UGCAGUCGAGCGGGGAAAGGUAGCUUGCUACCUGACCUAGCGGCGGACGGGUGAGUAAUGCUUAGGAAUCUGCCUAUUAGUGGGGGACAACAUUCCGAAAGGAAUGCUAAUACCGCAUACGCCCUACGGGGGAAAGCAGGGGAUCUUCGGACCUUGCGCUAAUAGAUGAGCCUAAGUCAGAUUAGCUAGUUGGUGGGGUAAAGGCCUACCAAGGCGACGAUCUGUAGCGGGUCUGAGAGGAUGAUCCGCCACACUGGGACUGAGACACGGCCCAGACUCCUACGGGAGGCAGCAGUGGGGAAUAUUGGACAAUGGGCGAAAGCCUGAUCCAGCCAUGCCGCGUGUGUGAAGAAGGCCUUUUGGUUGUAAAGCACUUUAAGCGAGGAGGAGGCUACCGAGAUUAAUACUCUUGGAUAGUGGACGUUACUCGCAGAAUAAGCACCGGCUAACUCUGUGCCAGCAGCCGCGGUAAUACAGAGGGUGCGAGCGUUAAUCGGAUUUACUGGGCGUAAAGCGUGCGUAGGCGGCUUUUUAAGUCGGAUGUGAAAUCCCUGAGCUUAACUUAGGAAUUGCAUUCGAUACUGGGAAGCUAGAGUAUGGGAGAGGAUGGUAGAAUUCCAGGUGUAGCGGUGAAAUGCGUAGAGAUCUGGAGGAAUACCGAUGGCGAAGGCAGCCAUCUGGCCUAAUACUGACGCUGAGGUACGAAAGCAUGGGGAGCAAACAGGAUUAGAUACCCUGGUAGUCCAUGCCGUAAACGAUGUCUACUAGCCGUUGGGGCCUUUGAGGCUUUAGUGGCGCAGCUAACGCGAUAAGUAGACCGCCUGGGGAGUACGGUCGCAAGACUAAAACUCAAAUGAAUUGACGGGGGCCCGCACAAGCGGUGGAGCAUGUGGUUUAAUUCGAUGCAACGCGAAAACCUUACCUGGUCUUGACAUAGUAAGAACUUUCCA
rnacentral:rRNA from 1 species